rnacentral:sRNA from 1 species
ACAGAGCGUGCUGUGUGGAUGCGGCGAAACGCUGAGGCACGGCCUUUGCUGUCUGGAGGGGACUCACAAGACCGACGUCAAGAUGAUGCUUUCAAGGGCCAAACCUGCUGUAGGCAGAGGCGUACAGCACACUGACAAAAGAAAGAAGAAAGUUCAAACGUCAUGUUGGGGAAGAAGAAGAGGAUACUAAUUUGUGGAUUGGAUAUUGUGCCUUUCACCUGGGUGACUACAAGAGAGCUCUGGAGGAAUACGAAAAUGCUACAAAAGAGGAAAAUUGUAAUUCUGAAGUCUGGGUGAACCUAGCUUGCACCUACUUCUUUCUUGGGAUGUAUAAACAAGCUGAAGCAGCUGGAUUUAAAGCUUCAAAAAGCCGACUCCAAAACCGCCUCCUCUUCCACUUGGCUCACAAGGGGAAAUGAAGUAGAAGACAAAGAACCUAAGGAAAAUAGGAAGAAGAGAGAGACACAAUGGCUAAAGAAGGAAGAUUAAAAUCUCUAUCACAUAGAUAUUGUUUUCUCUAACAACACUAAUAUGAAUCUUUACAUGUCUUUUCCACUCUCACAAUUUUAGUUUAAUGAUG